GAAAUGCGAUAAGUAAUGUGAAUUGCAGAAUUCAGUGAAUCAUCGAAUCUUUGAACGCACAUUGCGCCCGCCGGUAUUCCGGCGGGCAUGCCUGUUCGAGCGUCAUUUCAACCAUCAAGCCCCCGGGCUUGCGUUGGGGACCUGCGGCUGCGCGCAGGCCCCGAAAACCAGUGGCGGGCUCGCCGACACACCGAGCGUAGUAGUUUACACCUCGCUUAGGUCGUCGCGGCGGGCGCUGGCCGUUAAACCCCCCCAUCUCACCAAAGGUUGACCUCGGAUCAGGUAGGAAUACCCGCUGAACUUAA
rnacentral:misc_RNA from 1 species